UAGAUACCCCUAUUAUACCAAAAAGUAAUUAUUAUAAGCCUAAGUAUUAAUAGUUAUUUUCUAAAAAUUUGAAAAAUUUGGCGGUGGUUCAGUCCUGUCAGAGGAACCUGUCUUUUAAACGAUACACCACGAAAUAUCUUACUUAAACUGAUAUAGUAUGUAUACCAUCAUUAUUAGGUAAUUUUUAUAGAAUAAAUUACUAAAGGCUAGCAAGUGAAGCUAAAUAUAUUAGAUCAAGGUGCAGCUUAUGUUUAAGUUAAGAUGGGUUACAAUAAUAUUUAUUUAAUACGGAUAGGUGAUUUAAAUAUUGCCUGGAAGGAGGAUUUGAUUGUAAAAAUAGUUUAAUAUGCUAUUUAGAUAUAGGCUCUGAAGCAUGUACAUAUCGCCCGUCGCUUUCAUUCAUAAAAUGAGAUAAGUCGUAACAUAGUAGAUGUA
rnacentral:rRNA from 1 species